GGGAUUGAACUCGAGUAAGUCCUUGGGCUUGCAGGCAAGCACUUUAUCAGCUGAGACAUCUUGCUGGACCUCUUUAACCAUCUUAAGUAAAGGAUUUUUUUAUUUAAUUGUAGGAAUUCUGAGUAUACAACCCAAGCCCAAAUUAAUCAGGUUUAGGAAACAAAGGCCAUUUCCCCAAGUGUUCUGAAACACAUGCAUCCUUCCUACUCACGGAGUCUCUCAUUCAAUCUUCAGAGAAGUCUGGAAAGCUAUUGUGAUCUAUUGUGGUCACCUCCACUGUCUUCCCUACAGGAGCAAGAGACUGAGGCCACCAAAGUCUUUGACCAGAAUCACAGGUUGUAACCAGCAGGUCAGGGACAUCAUAGCUGGGGGUCAAAGUGGCUUGAGUCCAGAGUUAAGCUCUGAAAUUCUUAUGUCUGCUUUUUGGCCACUGCUCAGAUCCAGGUGUAUCCUCACUGUCUGUACAACACAACCCAUGCCCUUUGCCACCAUCCUUGCUUUACCAUCUCUUGCCUCAAGACACAGAGAUAUGAGCCAAGUUUAUAAACCUCUCUUAGAUAAGAGUCUGGAGUCAGAGAUGUCAGGCACUUUCAACAAAUGCUUGCUAAGCACCUACCGUAUUCCAAGCAUUAAAUGGGAUUCUCAGGACUCUAGGACAAAUAAGACCCAGUUAGUUCUCUGGUUGUCCACACCGAGUGGAGGAGGCAGAUACAAAGGCCCAUGCUGUUGUUAGUUUAGUUUUCUGAGGCUGGGUCUUGUAUGUAGCUCAGUUUGCCCUGGUAUCUGCUUGGUAUCCCAAGCUGGUCUCAAAACCAUGGCAAUUCUGCUUGCCUCAGCUUCCUGACCACUGGGUGGCAGGUAUGAGUUACUAUGUCUGGCUCUUUUUAAUUUUUUUUAUAUGCCUACCUGGCUGGGCCAUAGCAUCCAAGUCAAGAAAUAUUCUACAUGGGCAUAAAAGGUGUUUGGAUCAGAGAACUGAGUGGCUCAGAUUUCCCUCUACUCAACUGAAGACCUGAAGAGAACAGGAGGAUUCCAUUGAGUGAGAGGCGCUUCUGCCUGGCUUCUCACAGCCCGCACAUUGGGUCUUGUGUUUGGGGCGAAGCAGCUGCUCUUCCUUCUGAGUCUCCGCUCUAUGGGCUUGUGAUUAUUGGCUGCAGACUUAGAUGUUAUCGGUAAUCACAUCAGCAAGGCCCAAUAAUGAAUCUCUCUCUGCACAGGACAUACUAAAGCAUCCUUCGCUGGCUCCUCUACACAGACGCUCCUCUUUGUGACCCUAUUUUCUGGUUAAUAAGGCUGUCUUUUACUUGACUACACAAGCUCCAAGUGCAGGGUGUGCACUGUUAUUGGAAAGAAAUACCCAAAAUGAAUCCACAGUUGGUCCCAGGGCUGGGGAGAGAACUUGACUUCUGGAAGCCCAACUUUGUGUUCCUGUCCCUGAUUAGGAAAACCUUGUUUGGAGCUGAGACGAAGAUGUCCUCAUUGUGGAAGGAAGUGUCUACAAGCAGCCCAUUAAACACGAAGCCCUGCUGUUGAGUCUCGUGGAUGCCGUCAUGCAGGGAAGCCUUGUCUGGAGGUGUGCAAUGCCAGGAGAGCAACUCACCAAAGAAGUUCUUGUGAUAUGCUGGUGGUUUCCUGCUGCUUCUGUGGACGCGCAGAUCAUCGGAUCCUUGCAGUUUCUUUUGGAUCAAACUGCCACUGCUGAUUUGUGUUGGUGUUUUGCUAGAGGACUGGACUGCUGACAGUAGAGAUUGGAAUCACCCCAAAGAACUAUUUCUAAGCAGAUCCACAACCCCCAUUUCCUGUUAGCCUUUCUUUUCCACUACCUCUGGUGGGUGGUUUGCUAGAAGGGAGGUUGAA